UUGACCUCAAAUCAGGUAGGACUACCCGCUGAACUUAAGCAUAUCAAUAAGCGGAGGAAAAGAAACUAACAAGGAUUCCCCUAGUAACUGCGAGUGAAGCGGGAAAAGCUCAAAUUUAAAAUCUGGCAGUCUUUGGCUGUCCGAGUUGUAAUCUAGAGAAGUGUUGCCCACGCUGGACCGUGUAUAAGUCUUCUGGAAUGAAGCGUCAUAGAGGGUGAGAAUCCCGUCUUUGACAUGGACUCCCAGUGUAUUGUGGCGUGCUCUCAAAGAGUCGAGUUGUUUGGGAAUGCAGCUCUAAAUGGGUGGUAACCUCCAUCUAAAGCUAAAUAUUGG
rnacentral:rRNA from 1 species